rnacentral:lncRNA from 1 species
AACACUUGAAUCAGUUGCAACAAAUGAAAUAUUGCAAAAAAGUUGUGAUUAGCGAGAAAAUUUGUUUUGUGCUCUCAGAGUUUUUUGCAACGAGAUUAAUUUUGUUGCGCAAAGGUUAACAAAAAUAUUAAAUUAAUAAGUGAAAAUAUAAAGAUAAUAUAAAAGCAAACAUGACUUUGUGGGAGGCUUUUUAAUUUUUUUAUUUCCGCGCCCUUUAUUUAAUAAACCGCGUGCUAACCGAAGUAAAGUUUCCAUCUCCAAUUUUUUCUUAAUUAAAAUAUUGCUUCUAGAAUAUUUCCACUUUACUCUUCGCUUGUUUCUUUUGCCCUGCCAUGGAGUCAUUCUCUCUGCCCAAGCUUUAAGCCAUUGAAGAGUUGUACUUGGAAGGCACCACUCAAGACAACGAUUUCUUCAAGUAAAUUUAGUUUUAUUUUAUAUAUUGGCCUGUUGAGUUUGAUUUUGUUUAGUGGGUUUUGCUUUAAUUAUUUAUUAAGUGGGUCUUUGUUUCAAUUUUUAAUUUGUUAAAUUAAAGUUAAUGGAUUUUUCAUGGUGAAGAACCUGAGUUUGUGGACAAUAGUCAAAUGAAUGUAGGAUCUAUGCCCAGUAAUAGGAUCUUUCAUGUUAUAAUUUCUUUGACAAAAUUAUAGUUAUCUUGAUUUAUUUUUAUGUUGAUUAUUAAUAAACUCUAAUGUAUAUUUUUAAUAAUUACUAGAUGGGUCCUGGACAUAGAGUUACCAAACGUGUAAGAGCAGAAAUUGUUGUCACAUCUACAAUUCCCCAAUCUCAGCCUGUUAUGCUCAGCCAAGAGUUUGUGCAAGGUGUUGUUACAACUCUAGAAUUUGGUAUUUAAAGAGUUUAAUUGGUAGGUUUUGUUUGAUCGACUAUUAGUAAGUACUUAUGAUUAUUAAUAUUCUUCAUCUGUCAUUUUUUUUAAUUAUAAACUGAGUAUCUUUUUUUUCCUAAAUUCAGUCAAAGUUUGAGAUUGAUUUGAACUUACCACAUGUUCGUCGAUGUGUGAAUAACAUUAUGGGUGGGAGAUAUUGUGAUAUGAGACAUUGGAUGUAUGAUCAUUACUU